AAGGUGAUGUGGCAUUAGGAGACUUUAUACCAGAUGCCCUCCCUGUUACUGUGUUUAGAGGAAGAAAAGCAGCACAUGAGACCAGAGCUUCUUCACUGGAAUAAAUCUUCACACUGUCCAGCUCCAAACUGUGUAUCUCUGUCCCUGUGCUCUCUUUGUGUUUGAUUCUGUUUAAGACAAUACAGAUCUGUGGAAAACUAAAAA